rnacentral:lncRNA from 1 species
UGUUAUUAUAGAUCAGUUACAUUUCAGAUCACUACUGUAAAGUGAAUUUUGCUAUAAAGCAAAUCAGCUUUUUUUUUUCAUUUUUCUAAUGCAUAUAAAAGCCAAAAAGUAUAUUUUCAUUAUUAUUAAAUGCACAAUAGCAUUAGGCUUAAAAAUUCUGCUGGAUGGGUGCAUGGUGUAAAGCAUUCAUAUACCACCUUGGAGGAUUCAGGUUUGGUUCUGAAUCUCACCUCACACUUUCAGUUUUUCAGGACAAUUCCAGACCCAGCCCAUCUUUGUUAUAAUUUAUGUUUAUAUGUAUAUCUCUCUGUUCUAAGUAUUAUUCUGCAGACAAUUUUCCUAUUGAGAUAUAUAAUAAUAUAAAAAUAUGGAAUAUAAUUGAGA